GGAGUUAGCCGGUGCUUCUUCUGCGAGUAACGUCACAGAUGUAAGGUAUUAACUUACACCCUUUCCUCCUCGCUGAAAGUGCUUUACAACCCGAAGGCCUUCUUCACACACGCGGCAUGGCUGCAUCAGGGUUUCCCCCAUUGUGCAAUAUUCCCCACUGCUGCCUCCCGUAGGAGUCUGGGCCGUGUCUCAGUCCCAGUGUGGCUGAUCAUCCUCUCAGACCAGCUAGGGAUCGUCGCCUAGGUGAGCCUUUACCUCACCUACUAGCUAAUCCCACCUGGGCUUAUCCAUCAGCGCAAGGCCCGAAGGUCCCCUGCUUUCCCCCGUAGGGCGUAUGCGGUAUUAGCAGUCGUUUCCAACUGUUAUCCCCCACAAAUGGGCAAAUUCCCAGGCAUUACUCACCCGUCCGCCGCUCGUCAUCUUCAAAAGCAAGCUUUUAGAAAUGUUACCGCUCGACUUGCAUGUGUUAGGCCUGCCGCCAGCGUUCAAUCUGAGCCANAAUCAAACUCUGA
rnacentral:rRNA from 1 species